rnacentral:rRNA from 2 species
UUAAAUUGAAGAGUUUGAUCAUGGCUCAGAUUGAACGCUGGCGGCAGGCCUAACACAUGCAAGUCGAACGGUAACAGGAAGCAGCUUGCUGCUUUGCUGACGAGUGGCGGACGGGUGAGUAAUGUCUGGGAAACUGCCUGAUGGAGGGGGAUAACUACUGGAAACGGUGGCUAAUACCGCAUAACGUCGCAAGACCAAAGAGGGGGACCUUCGGGCCUCUUGCCAUCAGAUGUGCCCAGAUGGGAUUAGCUAGUUGGUGAGGUAACGGCUCACCAAGGCGACGAUCCCUAGCUGGUCUGAGAGGAUGACCAGCCACACUGGAACUGAGACACGGUCCAGACUCCUACGGGAGGCAGCAGUGGGGAAUAUUGCACAAUGGGCGCAAGCCUGAUGCAGCCAUGCCGCGUGUAUGAAGAAGGCCUUCGGGUUGUAAAGUACUUUCAGCGGGGAGGAAGGUGUUGUGGUUAAUAACCGCAGCAAUUGACGUUACCCGCAGAAGAAGCACCGGCUAACUCCGUGCCAGCAGCCGCGGUAAUACGGAGGGUGCAAGCGUUAAUCGGAAUUACUGGGCGUAAAGCGCACGCAGGCGGUCUGUCAAGUCGGAUGUGAAAUCCCCGGGCUCAACCUGGGAACUGCAUUCGAAACUGGCAGGCUUGAGUCUUGUAGAGGGGGGUAGAAUUCCAGGUGUAGCGGUGAAAUGCGUAGAGAUCUGGAGGAAUACCGGUGGCGAAGGCGGCCCCCUGGACAAAGACUGACGCUCAGGUGCGAAAGCGUGGGGAGCAAACAGGAUUAGAUACCCUGGUAGUCCACGCCGUAAACGAUGUCUACUUGGAGGUUGUGCCCUUGAGGCGUGGCUUCCGGAGCUAACGCGUUAAGUAGACCGCCUGGGGAGUACGGCCGCAAGGUUAAAACUCAAAUGAAUUGACGGGGGCCCGCACAAGCGGUGGAGCAUGUGGUUUAAUUCGAUGCAACGCGAAGAACCUUACCUGGUCUUGACAUCCACAGAAGAAUCCAGAGAUGGAUUUGUGCCUUCGGGAACUGUGAGACAGGUGCUGCAUGGCUGUCGUCAGCUCGUGUUGUGAAAUGUUGGGUUAAGUCCCGCAACGAGCGCAACCCUUAUCCUUUGUUGCCAGCGAUUAGGUCGGGAACUCAAAGGAGACUGCCAGUGAUAAACUGGAGGAAGGUGGGGAUGACGUCAAGUCAUCAUGGCCCUUACGACCAGGGCUACACACGUGCUACAAUGGCGCAUACAAAGAGAAGCGACCUCGCGAGAGCAAGCGGACCUCAUAAAGUGCGUCGUAGUCCGGAUUGGAGUCUGCAACUCGACUCCAUGAAGUCGGAAUCGCUAGUAAUCGUGGAUCAGAAUGCCACGGUGAAUACGUUCCCGGGCCUUGUACACACCGCCCGUCACACCAUGGGAGUGGGUUGCAAAAGAAGUAGGUAGCUUAACCUUCGGGAGGGCGCUUACCACUUUGUGAUUCAUGACUGGGGUGAAGUCGUAACAAGGUAACCGUAGGGGAACCUGCGGUUGGAUCACCUCCUUACCUUAAAGAA